rnacentral:rRNA from 1 species
UGCGUAGGCGGGCUAAUAAGUCAGUGGUGAAAUCUUUCGGCUCAACCGAGAAACUGCCAUUGAUACUGUUAAUCUUGAGUUCGGUUGAGGUAGGCGGAAUGUGUAAUGUAGCGGUGAAAUGCUUAGAUAUUACACAGAACACCAAUUGCGUAGGCAGCUUACUAGACCGACACUGACGCUGAGGCACGAAAGCGUGGGGAGCGAACAGGAUUAGAUACCCUGGUAGUC